rnacentral:rRNA from 1 species
GUGCCAGCCGCCGCGGUAAUACGGAGGUUGCAAGCGUUAUCCGGAUUUAUUGGGUUUAAAGGGUGCGUAGGCGGGAUAAUAAGUCAGUGGUGAAAGCCUGCAGCUUAACUGUAGAAAUGCCAUUGAUACUGUUGUUCUUGAGUGUAGUUGAGGUGGGCGGAAUGUGUAAUGUAGCGGUGAAAUGCUUAGAUAUUACACAGAACACCGAUUGCGUAGGCAGCUCGCUAAACUAAAACUGACGCUGAGGCACGAAAGCGUGGGGAGCAAACAGGAUUAGAUACCCCCGUAGUCC